GUUAUUGCUGAUGCACUGUCUCGUUGCUAUACUAUGCUUUCACAACUUGACUUCACAAUAUUUGGUUUGGAGACCAUCAAAGAUCAAUAUGUGCAUGAUGCUGAUUUUAAAGAUGUAUUGCAGAAUUGUAAACAAGGAAGAACAUGGAACAAGUUCGUCGUUAAUGAUGGAUUUGUGUUCCAAGCUAACAAGCUAUGCAUUCCAGCUAGCUUCGUUCGUCUUUUGUUAUUGCAGGAGGCGCAUGGAGGAGGACUAAUGGGACACUUUGGCAUGAAGAAGACGGAGGGCGUACUUGCUAGCCAUUUCUUUUGGCCAAAGAUGAGACGGGAUGUUGAGCGCUUUGUUGCUCGCUGCACUACAUGUCAAAAAGCUAAGUCACGACUCAAUCCUCAUGGUUUAUAUAUGCCUUUGCCUGUACCUAGUGUUCCUUGGGAGGGUAUAUCUAUGGACUUUGUUUUAGGUUUACCUCGAACAAAGAAGGGGAGGGAUAGCAUAUUUGUUGUCAUGGAUAGAUUCUCA
rnacentral:rRNA from 1 species